CUGGCCUAGCCCCAGAACCGGCCCUGCCAGGGAAGGGGACAUGCUCGCGCACGGCUUCCCGGUGGAGUUGGGGUCCUGCACCCGCAGUUGCUGGAGCGAGGGGGCCUCCCAUUGAUGCUGCUCCUCGCGACCUCCUCCAGCGAUGUCCUGAUCAAGGGUUUGGGCCAUGGAGGCUGCUGCUGGUCCGCUGGGGAGGACUCCCUCGAUCUGCUCCCGUCGCCACCUACGCAUCGGCUAAAGUUUUAACCAAACUUGUGAAAGAAUUUGCUCGUGAUAUUUCUGGUAAUGGUGGUAUGCUUGUAGCUCCUACUACUCACAAAUCAGAGGAGACAGAAGGUGCUAUCUGAACAAUACUGAAUAUUGCUCUUUCCUUGAUGCUAAUCAUUGCUGCAGUAGAUUAGUAGUAUUUGAUUUGCGGAUGAAGACAUCACUAGACCUAGUUAUUUUAGCUGUUAGAUUUUUUUUUGUGCAUGAGUCCUCACCCACAUGCUUUUUUUUUUUGAAAUUCAGACAGGAUAGUUGUAACACCCAGUGUUAUUAAAAGCCUAAGAAGGUAAUUUAGAGGUUAAUGAUGAAUUUGGAUGCAAGGGAGGUAUUAUGGACCAAAGUCAAAUUUGGGUCAAAUUUGACCAAAGAUUCAAAUUCAAGAUUUAAAAAUUCAUAGGACUUCCACAACCAACAGUUGGGCGACAACUUGAGAAAUGGAAUCUUUAAUCUAUGGUUAACCAUUUCGGAAGUUUUUGGCCCAAGAAACAUGAAUUUAAAUUCCCAAAUUAGAACUCAAAGAGGGAACAAGUUACUAUCAAGCUAUCUGCUGAGAACUGAAUGGCAGAGCACCCGGGGUGUUAAAAACAGUCAAGAAUGGCCAAGAACAGGAUAUGAUAAAGAUUUGGGGGUUAACGAGCUUUUAUGGCCAAAGUCAACUUUUGGUCAAAUUUUAGCAAAAAAUGUCAAAUAAGAGCUUCAAAUUCAGAAAAAAUUGACAAAUGCAUGAAUUUGGACCUUAUGGACAUUUGGAACUCAAAGAGACCAUUUGAGAAGCAAAUGGACUUUAAAUUGUCCAAAAAUCAGAAAUGGAGGAUGUUACUGUUCACUAACUGGAUUUAGGCAUAAAUGACUUUGAAAGACAGUACUAAAUGGAAUGAACUUUGAUUCACGAGAUUUUGGAGAAAUGCUAUAUGAGCCUUCAGUUUUAUGGGCAAAAUGGAACUUUCAUGUCAAGCUUAGCAUGAUCUCCAAAUUUGGCAUGAAACAAAUGGAAUUUGAAGUGUUAAAUGGUAAUUCAAACUUAAAUGGAGGAUUUUGGUACUGUUCUGUCGAGAUUGAAGCCAUCCAGUGCAAUUUCAAUUCAGUAAAAAGCAAGAAUUAGCAGCCAGUUUCAGGACCAACUUUGGAAGGGAAAAAGAGAGAUUUGGCUUUUGAGAUGAAUAAGAGAAAUGUAGAUAAAUAGGUUCUCUACAACUUCUAUAAAGGAAGUUUUGAGAGUUUAAGUGAAAAAAAUGGAGUAAACACAAUCUGAACCUUCAGCUCAGAAAAAUUGACAGUUCUGUUAAUACUGGAGGAAUGGACAGUAAUAGUAGAUUUUGGAAGUAAUUUUCGAACUCUUAGAGUCAAAAUCAGCAGAAACUCCAAAUGUAUCAAAGGUAGUCACGAAUAUUUCCGAAAAACUUUGUUUAAGGGCUCUGAGCAAGCCUAUGUUGAAUUUUAGCCACGAAAAUCAACCUGAAGAUAAUCUGUCAAAGGCUUAGCUGUUAAAAAGGGAAAAGUAGCAGUCAAGUUCAGAAGGAAAUUCCCCUCGAUUGGUUGGGAAUCUAAAGGAGGUGUAGUAAGAUGAAUUGAAAUUCAGCAAAUUUCCUACAACUUUUAUAAAGGGACUUUUGAAAUAGCAGUUUGGAUUUUUAUCGUAAUUGGCUGUUGAAGUUUCUGACAGCAAGGUUCAAAAGGAGAAAAUUCAGUUAAGUUGAAGUUCAAUGUCCAGAAAAGUUCAGAGACAUUUCUCACGAGGAAGAAGCGAGAUUCAGCCAAAGUACAAAUCUAUGAAAGGUAGAACUUUGGAUUUCCUCCAACUUUCAUAAAGGGUGUUUUGGAUGUGUUGCUGGCCAAAGAAAGCAAAGAAUUCAAAUUUCUUUGGAGGCUCAAAGUUAGAACUUCAUGCUGUCCUCAAGAACAGUGCUGCUUAGCAAUCUUUGGUGCAAGUUUUUGAAAAAUCUAGUGUGUAAGAGAUGGGUUCUUAUGUGCAAAAUGGAACCUUUGUGGUAUGUUGAACCAAGAUCAGUGGAAGUUGGGAAAGAUAAAGUGAGUUUGGGCAGUUAAAAUCGAACCCAAAGUGGAGCAAAUGGCUGUUUUUGACACCUGACGAUACUGAAUCGUGCGAUUCAGUAAACAGCUCAAUUUUAGCCGACAUUGGAGCUCAAAAUUCACGGCCUUAGAAUGUUCUUUUCGAUUGUGUGUAAAUCUAUCAAAUGAAGGGUAUAUGACUCUACAAGUUUGUUUGAA